rnacentral:rRNA from 1 species
GGGUUGUGAGGUUAAGCGACUAAGCGUACACGGUGGAUGCCCUGGCAGUCAGAGGCGAUGAAGGACGUGCUAAUCUGCGAUAAGCGUCGGUAAGGUGAUAUGAACCGUUAUAACCGGCGAUUUCCGAAUGGGGAAACCCAGUGUGUUUCGACACACUAUCAUUAACUGAAUCCAUAGGUUAAUGAGGCGAACCGGGGGAACUGAAACAUCUAAGUACCCCGAGGAAAAGAAAUCAACCGAGAUUCCCCCAGUAGCGGCGAGCGAACGGGGAGCAGCCCAGAGCCUGAAUCAGUGUGUGUGUUAGUGGAAGCGUCUGGAAAGGCGCGCGAUACAGGGUGACAGCCCCGUACACAAAAAUGCACAUGCUGUGAGCUCGAUGAGUAGGGCGGGACACGUGGUAUCCUGUCUGAAUAUGGGGGGACCAUCCUCCAAGGCUAAAUACUCCUGACUGACCGAUAGUGAACCAGUACCGUGAGGGAAAGGCGAAAAGAACCCCGGCGAGGGGAGUGAAAAAGAACCUGAAACCGUGUACGUACAAGCAGUGGGAGCACGCUUCGGCGUGUGACUGCGUACCUUUUGUAUAAUGGGUCAGCGACUUAUAUUCUGUAGCAAGGUUAACCGAAUAGGGGAGCCGAAGGGAAACCGAGUCUUAACUGGGCGUUAAGUUGCAGGGUAUAGACCCGAAACCCGGUGAUCUAGCCAUGGGCAGGUUGAAGGUUGGGUAACACUAACUGGAGGACCGAACCGACUAAUGUUGAAAAAUUAGCGGAUGACUUGUGGCUGGGGGUGAAAGGCCAAUCAAACCGGGAGAUAGCUGGUUCUCCCCGAAAGCUAUUUAGGUAGCGCCUCGUGAAUUCAUCUCCGGGGGUAGAGCACUGUUUCGGCAAGGGGGUCAUCCCGACUUACCAACCCGAUGCAAACUGCGAAUACCGGAGAAUGUUAUCACGGGAGACACACGGCGGGUGCUAACGUCCGUCGUGAAGAGGGAAACAACCCAGACCGCCAGCUAAGGUCCCAAAGUCAUGGUUAAGUGGGAAACGAUGUGGGAAGGCCCAGACAGCCAGGAUGUUGGCUUAGAAGCAGCCAUCAUUUAAAGAAAGCGUAAUAGCUCACUGGUCGAGUCGGCCUGCGCGGAAGAUGUAACGGGGCUAAACCAUGCACCGAAGCUGCGGCAGCGACGCUGAUGCGUUGUUGGGUAGGGGAGCGUUCUGUAAGCCUGCGAAGGUGUGCUGUGAGGCAUGCUGGAGGUAUCAGAAGUGCGAAUGCUGACAUAAGUAACGAUAAAGCGGGUGAAAAGCCCGCUCGCCGGAAGACCAAGGGUUCCUGUCCAACGUUAAUCGGGGCAGGGUGAGUCGACCCCUAAGGCGAGGCCGAAAGGCGUAGUCGAUGGGAAACAGGUUAAUAUUCCUGUACUUGGUGUUACUGCGAAGGGGGGACGGAGAAGGCUAUGUUGGCCGGGCGACGGUUGUCCCGGUUUAAGCGUGUAGGCUGGUUUUCCAGGCAAAUCCGGAAAAUCAAGGCUGAGGCGUGAUGACGAGGCACUACGGUGCUGAAGCAACAAAUGCCCUGCUUCCAGGAAAAGCCUCUAAGCAUCAGGUAACAUCAAAUCGUACCCCAAACCGACACAGGUGGUCAGGUAGAGAAUACCAAGGCGCUUGAGAGAACUCGGGUGAAGGAACUAGGCAAAAUGGUGCCGUAACUUCGGGAGAAGGCACGCUGAUAUGUAGGUGAAGUCCCUCGCGGAUGGAGCUGAAAUCAGUCGAAGAUACCAGCUGGCUGCAACUGUUUAUUAAAAACACAGCACUGUGCAAACACGAAAGUGGACGUAUACGGUGUGACGCCUGCCCGGUGCCGGAAGGUUAAUUGAUGGGGUCAGCGCAAGCGAAGCUCUUGAUCGAAGCCCCGGUAAACGGCGGCCGUAACUAUAACGGUCCUAAGGUAGCGAAAUUCCUUGUCGGGUAAGUUCCGACCUGCACGAAUGGCGUAAUGAUGGCCAGGCUGUCUCCACCCGAGACUCAGUGAAAUUGAACUCGCUGUGAAGAUGCAGUGUACCCGCGGCAAGACGGAAAGACCCCGUGAACCUUUACUAUAGCUUGACACUGAACAUUGAGCCUUGAUGUGUAGGAUAGGUGGGAGGCUUGGAAGUGUGGACGCCAGUCUGCAUGGAGCCGACCUUGAAAUACCACCCUUUAAUGUUUGAUGUUCUAACGUUGACCCGUAAUCCGGGUUGCGGACAGUGUCUGGUGGGUAGUUUGACUGGGGCGGUCUCCUCCUAAAGAGUAACGGAGGAGCACGAAGGUUGGCUAAUCCUGGUCGGACAUCAGGAGGUUAGUGCAAUGGCAUAAGCCAGCUUGACUGCGAGCGUGACGGCGCGAGCAGGUGCGAAAGCAGGUCAUAGUGAUCCGGUGGUUCUGAAUGGAAGGGCCAUCGCUCAACGGAUAAAAGGUACUCCGGGGAUAACAGGCUGAUACCGCCCAAGAGUUCAUAUCGACGGCGGUGUUUGGCACCUCGAUGUCGGCUCAUCACAUCCUGGGGCUGAAGUAGGUCCCAAGGGUAUGGCUGUUCGCCAUUUAAAGUGGUACGCGAGCUGGGUUUAGAACGUCGUGAGACAGUUCGGUCCCUAUCUGCCGUGGGCGCUGGAGAACUGAGGGGGGCUGCUCCUAGUACGAGAGGACCGGAGUGGACGCAUCACUGGUGUUCGGGUUGUCAUGCCAAUGGCACUGCCCGGUAGCUAAAUGCGGAAGAGAUAAGUGCUGAAAGCAUCUAAGCACGAAACUUGCCCCGAGAUGAGUUCUCCCUGACCCUUUAAGGGUCCUGAAGGAACGUUGAAGACGACGACGUUGAUAGGCCGGGUGUGUAAGCGCAGCGAUGCGUUGAGCUAACCGGUACUAAUGAACCGUGAGGCUUAACCUUACAACGCCGAAG